rnacentral:rRNA from 1 species
GACGAACGCUGGCGGCGUGCUUAACACAUGCAAGUCGAACGGUGAAGCGCCUUCCUUUUUGGUGGGUGUGGAUGAGUGGCGAACGGGUGAGUAACACGUGAGUAACCUGCCCCCUUCUUCUGGAUAACCGCAUGAAAGUGUGGCUAAUACGGGAUAUUCUGGGUCUGUCGCAUGAUGGGUCUGGGAAAGAUAUUGUUUCGGUGGGGGAUGGGCUCGCGGCCUAUCAGCUUGUUGGUGGGGUGAUGGCCUACCAAGGCGGUGACGGGUAGCCGGCCUGGGAGGGUGGCCGGUCACACUGGGACUGAGACACGGCCCAGACUCCUACGGGAGGCAGCAGUGGGGAAUAUGGCACAAUGGGCGCAAGCCUGAUGCAGCGACGCCGCGUGAGGGAUGGAGGCCUUCGGGUUGUGAACCUCUUUCGCCAGUGAAGCAGGCCUGCCUCGUUUGUGGGUGGGUUGACGGUAGCUGGAUAAGAAGCGCCGGCUAACUACGUG